rnacentral:rRNA from 1 species
UACAGAGGGUGCGAGCGUUGUCCGGAAUCACUGGGCGUAAAGGGCGCGUAGGCGGCUUGAUAAGCGUGCGGUGAAAGCCCGGGGCUCAACCCCGGGUCGGCCGUGCGAACUGUCGAGCUGGAGCACUGUAGAGGCAGGUGGAAUUCCGGGUGUAGCGGUGGAAUGCGUAGAGAUCCGGAAGAACACCGGUGGCGAAGGCGGCCUGCUGGGACGGUACUGACGCUGAGGCGCGAAAGCGUGGGGAGCAAACAGG